CAUUGAAUUGCUGCCAAGGAGUGCUUGUUUGGAGUCAUAAAAUACAUUGGACAUUAGAAAAAUAAGACAGUUUGAGAUACACGAAUGAGUAUACUUCCAGCAGAUUAUCACUUAACUGCACUGACAAUGUUACUGUCCAUUUAUAAUUCUUCAUUCUGUCUAAGCACCAUUCGGCUAUAUGCUUUCCCAGCAUGUACGUAGGAGUGAAUCGUUUCUCUACUACUGGUCUCACUUCUAAUGGGUCUUUGUGUCUCUUGACGAACACAAAUAAUUAGGAGGUUUUGGUGAUCAAACAUAUGCACCUCUCAAAAAAUUCGGCAAUUUGUUAUUAUUAAGUAUCCUAUGUACCUCCCUGUCCAAAGUUUCUGUAGGAUCUUGUUCCACUUUAAUACAGUUGUUCUCACUAAUAAAGUUAUCCUAGAAGGUGUGGUAAGUUUCUCUCUUUAAGAGUACUAUUGCUUUUGAUUUCUAAUCUCUCGUGCAUACAAUAUUGUUGUUAUCAAGCCAUUCUUCUACUUUUUUAAUCUUUCGGUUAAGUAAUCUUAGGUUGCUUUUUUCUGUUCUCAUAAUGCUUUUUGCUAAAUUCCAUCUCAUUUUGUCAGCUUUUACUUCAUCUGCAGCUUAUAAUAGUGGUUCUACUUGUAUAGCAAGUGUCUUCCAGUCUCGUACAUUUUCGACUAAGUUGUUCGGUCCUAUUUCGAACACCUCAUAUAUAACUGGAGGGAUUUAUAUAACAUAUGACUGCAUGAAAGGAUUAAGUUCUUUCUUAACCUGUUUACGUAUCAGCCAUUUCAUUUUUUUAAUAUAUUUCUUUCUAAUACCAACUAAAGAGUUCCCUUCUAGCAUCCGUGACAGCAGUUGCUAGGCACUGUUUUUUUUGUUGUACUUAACAGCUUUUUUGUACUUACAGUUAUAGAGCUAUUGUUACUAAUAUAUAUAUUUUAGAAACACAACAGUGUAUAAAUCUUUCCACUUUUUGUAUUGUAAUCUAGCACUAAAAUUGCAAGAAUGUCUUAUUUAUUUAUUUGUUUGUUUAUUUGAAACAGAU
rnacentral:lncRNA from 1 species